rnacentral:sRNA from 10 species
UUCCAUUUACUGUGAUUGAUAAGGAAAUAAUAAUCGAAUUAAC